rnacentral:rRNA from 1 species
CGAGGGGUUCCGUGCCGAUAAUGAACGGGACUCAAGCGUCACGCCGAAGCGGCGGGUGUGGAGUGAUCCACGCGGUAGGAGAGCGUUGCACGUGCGGCGAAGGUGUACGGACGACGGGCACUGGAGCGCGUGCAAGUGACUAUGCCGGAACGAGUAGACGAUAAGACGGGUGAGAAUCCCGUCCGCCGUAAACCCAAGGUUUCCUGGGGAAGGCAAAUCCGCCCAGGGUCAGCCGGUGCCUAACCCGAGGCCGAGAGGCGUAGGGGACGGGGAGCAGGUUAAUACUCCUGCGCUCCCGCGCGGUUUAACCCGGUGGGGAAUGGGUGUAGGCUUAUCAGAUUGCCUCAGGGCGAUUAAGACCCCGAUAUCCCGGACCCCGCCGGCAAGAAGUGCCGCGCGGAAACCGUACCAAAACCGACACAGGUGGGUGGGAUGAGUAUUCCAAGGCGCUCGAGAGAACGCUCGUGAAGGAACUCUGCAAAUUGGCCCCGUAACUUCGGGAGAAGG